rnacentral:rRNA from 1 species
AGGCAGCAGUGGGGAAUAUUGCACAAUGGGCGCAAGCCUGAUGCAGCCAUGCCGCGUGUGUGAAGAAGGCCUUCGGGUUGUAAAGCACUUUCAGCGGGGAGGAAGGCGAUAAGGUUAAUAACCUUGUCGAUUGACGUUACCCGCAGAAGAAGUACCGGCUAACUCCGUGCCAGCAGCCGCGGUAA